CAGUCGCCACGGUAAUACGUAGGGUGCAAGCGUUAAUCGGAAUUACUGGGCGUAAAGGGUGCGUAGGCGGCUUGACAAGUCUUGUGUGAAAUCUAUGGGCUCAACCCAUAGUCUGCACGGGAAACUGUCGGGCUUGAGAAUGGGAGAGGUGAGUGGAAUUUCCGGUGUAGCGGUGAAAUGCGUAGAUAUCGGAAGGAACACCUGUGGCGAAAGCGGCUCACUGGACCAUUUCUGACGCUGAUGCACGAAAGCUAGGGGAGCAAACAGGAUUAGAUACCCGGGUAGUCCCUGUCUCUUAUAC
rnacentral:rRNA from 1 species